rnacentral:lncRNA from 1 species
ACAAUUCAUUCUUGUACACGAGAGAAAACAGCACCGGAUGUCAGGCAUGCUGUUAAGUGUGGUGAUUAGCCUGCUGAUCCUUAUCUUAAAGCUUCUCAAAUCCUUAAAUGGACUUGAUAUCCUUCCUGAUAAAAUUGUUUUCAACAUGUGUUCUACAUUGUUAAGUUUUUCCAAUUUAUGGGACAUAAAUGUGAUCAAUUUUAAAGCUGGUAAACUUUAAAGGAAAUUUUGGAAAACAAAGUGUUAUUCAUUUUACCUAAAUGGCCUAAAAUACUGUAAAAUACUUUCCUUGUGCCCCAACAAAUUUAGUAACUGCCUAAAUGCACAUCCUACAAAAUUUAUAAAAUGCUGAAUGGAAUGUUAGGUUGAUGCUAAAUGGUAACUGUUACAGACAAACUGAAUAAACUGUUGUGAAACUGCAGCUGAGAAAAUUUCUCUUCACUUCAAAGACAAGGCAUUUAAACAUCAGAACCUGGGAAGGAGUUCAUGAAAUAUGAAAUAAGUCAUUUUUAGAAAAUGUAAUCAUUGAAUAAGAGAGCAAAAGAAAAUACUUAAAUAUCUAGAAUAAAACCUUGAACUCAGUCUCUGGCAACUAUGAUACAUUUAAAUAUAUGAAAAUCAGCUGAAUAAUAAAUAUGUACAAUUUGCAAUGGAUUAUUAGAGGAUAUCUGAAAGUUUUUUAAGCCUAUUUUUAAACUUCAGUGACAAAUAUAAUCAUUUUUAAAUGAAAAAUGGCAGCAUUUUUUUUUCACCCGGAAGUUUACAUGGAGUGGACUGAAUUCUCUAAUAUAAGCAACAGAAUUCCAGACAUGUCCCAGAACAAUAUAAAAUUCCAAAGAUUUUCCCAGCAGUCAAACUUACGUAUAUGGAAUAUUUGCAACAUAAAAACUUCUGGUUUUUUACACACAAUUUUUCAGGAUGGAGUCAGACCUGGACUUGUCAUCUCUGUUUUGGGACUUGCAAGGUAGUCAUUCUAUUUUAGGCUUGUUAGAGAUCUGUAACUUGCCACUGAUGUUAGAGACCCACAGAGGCCAAGCAAUGAGGGAGUAUCUUCUUUACCUGAAAAUUAGGAUAACAAAUAUUUAAUUGCUCUUGAAACUUGAUACUAGUAAGAUCCUAAAACCAUUAAACUUUACAUACUGUAUGCUGCUGCU